CGUAGGGUGCGAGCGUUGUCCGGAAUUAUUGGGCGUAAAGAGCUCGUAGGCGGCUUGUCACGUCGGGUGUGAAAGCCCGGGGCUUAACCCCGGGUCUGCAUUCGAUACGGGCAGGCUUGAGUGUGGUAGGGGAGAUCGGAAUUCCUGGUGUAGCGGUGAAAUGCGCAGAUAUCAGGAGGAACACCGGUGGCGAAGGCGGAUCUCUGGGCCAUUACUGACGCUGAGGAGCGAAAGCGUGAGGAGCGAACAGGAUUAGAUACCCUGGUAGUCCACGCCGUAAACGUUGGGAACUAGGUGUUGGCGACAUUCCACGUCGUCGGUGCCGCAGCUAACGCAUUAAGUUCCCCGCCUGGGGAGUACGGCCGCAAGGCUA
rnacentral:rRNA from 1 species